rnacentral:rRNA from 1 species
GAUGAACGCUAGCGGCAGGCCUAAUACAUGCAAGUCGAACGGUGUCUUCGGACAUAGUGGCGCACGGGUGCGUAACACGUAUGCAACUUACCUUACAUUGGGGGUAGCCUUUCGAAAGGGAGAUUAAUACCGCAUAAGACAGUAGCUGGGCAUCCAGCAGCUGUUAAAGAUUUAUCGAUGUAAGCUGGGCAUGCGUCCAAUUAGCUAGUUGGUGAGGUAACGGCUCACCAAGGCAAUGAUUGGUAGGGGAACUGAGAGGUCAAUCCCCCGCACUGGCACUGGGAUACGGGCCAGCCUCCUACGGGAGGCAGCAGUAGGGAAUAUUGGGCAAUGGACGCAAGUCUGACCCAGCCAUGCCGCGUGCAGGAUGAAGGCGUUAUGCGUUGUAAACUGCUUUUAUACAGGAAGAAACGACUCUUGCGAGAGGCAUUGACGGUACUGUAUGAAUAAGCACCGGCUAACUCCGUGCCAGCCGCCGCAGUAAAAC